UAGUCUGCCUAAGAAAAAUUGAAUUUUUUUGGAAAUUUUUUUUUACGAAAACCGCUUUAAUGGUCAUAAAAUUGGUGUUCCUCUACUCGGAUCGGGCUGUCAAUUUUUUUCUACACUUUUAGGUGUAUUUUGUGCAAGAAAAUGCAAUAAAAUAGUCUGCCUAAGAAAAAUUGAAUUUUUUUGGUUAGUUUUUUAUGCUUUUGGAUGCGUUUUUGGUCAUAAAAAAGGUGUUCCUCUACUCGGAUCGGGCUGUCAAUUUUUUUCUACACUUUUAGGUGUAUUUUGUGCAAGAAAAUGCAAUAAAAUAGUCUGCCUAAGAAAAAUUGAAUUUUUUUGAAAAUUUUUUUUUGACGAAAAUCGCUUUAUUGGUCAUAAAAUUGGUGUUCCUCUACUCGGAUCGGGCUGUCAAUUUUUUUCUACACUUUUAGGUGUAUUUUGGGCAAGAAAAUGCAAUAAAAUAGUCUGCCUAAGAAAAAUUGAAUUUUUUUGGAAAUUUUUUUUUACGAAAACCGCUUUAAUGGUCAUAAAAUUGGUGUUCCUCUACUCGGAUCGGGCUGUCAAUUUUUUUCUACACUUUUAGGUGUAUUUUGUGCAAGAAAAUGCAAUAAAAUAGUCUGCCUAAGAAAAAUUGAAUUUUUUUGGACAUUUUUUUUUUACGAAAAUCGCUUUAAUGGUCAUAAAAUUGGUGUUCCUCUACUCGGAUCGGGCUGUCAAUUUUUUUCUACACUUUUAGGUGUAUUUUGUGCAAGAAAAUGCAAUAAAAUAGUCUGCCUAAGAAAAAUUGAAUUUUUUUGAAAAUUUUUUUUUGACAAAAAUCGCUUUAUUGGUCAUAAAAUUGGUGUUCCUCUACUAGGAUCGGGCUGUCAAUUUUUUGCUACACUUUUAGGUGUAUUUUGUGCAAGAAAUUGCAAUAAAAUAGUCUGCCUAAGAAAAAUUAAAUUUUUUUGGAAUGAUUUUUUUUACGAAAAUCGCUUUAAUGGUCAUAAAAUUGGUGUUCCUCUACUCGGAUCGGGCUGUCAAUUUUUUUCUACACUUUUAGGUGUAUUUUGUGCAAGAAAAUGCAAUAAAAUAGUCUGCCUAAGAAAAAUUGAAUUUUUUUGAAAAUUUUUUUUUGACAAAAAUCGCUUUAUUGGUCAUAAAAUUGGUGUUCCUCUACUAGGAUCGGGCUGUCAAUUUUUUGCUACACUUUUAGGUGUAUUUUGUGCAAGAAAUUGCAAUAAAAUAGUCUGCCUAAGAAAAAUUAAAUUUUUUUGGAAUGAUUUUUUUUACGAAAAUCGCUUUAAUGGUCAUAAAAUUGGUGUUCCUCUACUCGGAUCGGGCUGUCAAUUUUUUGCUACACUUUUAGGUGUAU